rnacentral:misc_RNA from 1 species
GAUGAAGAACGCAGCGAAAUGCGAUACGUAAUGUGAAUUGCAGAAUUCAGUGAAUCAUCGAGCCUUUGAACGCACAUUGCGCCCCCUGGUAUUCCGGGGGGCAUGCCUGUCCGAGCGUCAUUGCUGCCCUCAAGCACGGCUUGUGUGUUGGGCCUCCGUCCUCCUCCCGGGGGACGGGCCCGAAAGGCAGCGGCGGCACCGCGUCCGGUCCUCGAGCGUAUGGGGCUUCGUCACCCGCUCUUGUAGGCCCGGCCGGCGCUUGCCGACACAUCAAUCUUUUUUCCAGGUUGACCUCGGAUCAGGUAGGGAUACCCGCUGAACUUAAGCAUACAAUAAGCGGAGGA